GGAAACUAGGACUUUUAUUUUUAUGAUUUUCUGAAUGUAUGGACAAAAAAGGUAAUAUAUGAGUUUUGGGGGGCUCUUAUUUUGGAAUUCAACAUCAGAAUGUCCUGAAACAUUGUAGUUCACACCUUGAGAAGGUGUCCUCCCCACCUGAGGUGAAAUUGGUCUGUGGAAACUAGGACUUUUAUUUUUAUGAUUUUCUGAAUGUGUAAACAAAACAUCUAAUAUUCGAGUUUGGGGGGGCUCUUAUUUUGGAAUUCAACAUCAGAAUGUCCUGAAACAUUGUAGUUCACACCUUGAGAAGGUGUCCUCCCCACCUGAGGUGAAAUUGGUCUGUGGAAACUAGGACUUUUAUUUUUAUGAUUUUCUGAAUGU